rnacentral:tRNA from 1 species
GUCUUCGUGGCUCAGUUGGCUAGAGCGUUGGUCUCAUACUCGUAUGAUCCAGUCUAAGACUGGGCUAUCCAAAGGUCGUGAGUUCGAGCCUCACCGAGGACA